UACAGAGGUCUCAAGCGUUGUUCGGAUUCAUUGGGCGUAAAGGGUGUGUAGGUGGCGCGCUAAGUCGGGUGUGAAAUUUCGAGGCUUAACUUCGAAACUGCAUUCGAUACUGCCGUGCUAGAGGACUGGAGAGGAGACUGGAAUUUACGGUGUAGCGGUGAAAUGCGUAGAUAUCGUAAGGAAGACCAGUGGCGAAGGCGGGUCUCUGGACAGUUCCUGACGCUGAGGCACGAAGGCCAGGGGAGCAAACGGG
rnacentral:rRNA from 1 species